rnacentral:rRNA from 1 species
GACGAACGCUGGCGGCGUGCUUAACACAUGCAAGUCGAACGGAAAGGCCCUGCUUUUGUGGGGUGCUCGAGUGGCGAACGGGUGAGUAACACGUGAGAAACCUGCCCUUGACUUUGGGAUAACUUCAGGAAACUGGGGCUAAUACCGGAUAGGAGCUCCUGCUGCAUGGUGGGGGUUGGAAAGUUUCGGCGGUUGGGGAUGGACUCGCGGCUUAUCAGCUGGUUGGUGGGGUAGUGGCUUACCAAGGCUUUGACGGGUAGCCGGCCUGAGAGGGUGACCGGCCACAUUGGGACUGAGAUACGGCCCAGACUCCUACGGGAGGCAGCAGUGGGGAAUAUUGCACAAUGGGCGGAAGCCUGAUGCAGCAACGCCGCGUGCGGGAUGACGGCCUUCGGGUUGUAAACCGCUUUCGCCUGUGACGAAGCGUGAGUGACGGUAAUGGGUAAAGAAGCACCGGCUAACUACGUG